UGAGGAACAUGACCUUCGGCGGGGAUAGCCGGCCCAAACGGUCGGGUAAUACCGCGUACGACCACUUUGGGACAUCCCUCGGUGGUGAAAGCAGCAAUGCGCCGAUGGAGUGCCUCGCGGCCUAUCAGCUAGUUGGUGAGGUAACGGCUCGCCAAGGCGACGACGGGUANCUGGUCUGAGAGGAUGGCCAGCCACAGUUGGGACUGAGACACGGCCCAGACCUCCGUACGGGAGCAG
rnacentral:rRNA from 1 species